rnacentral:rRNA from 1 species
AUAUUACUAAGCGGAGGAAAAGAAAUUAACAAAGAUUGCCUUAGUAAGGGCGACUGAACCGGCAAGAGCUCGAAAUUGGAAUCGGGGAUUCAAAGAAUCUUCGAAUUGUAAUCAGGUCCGCCGAAAUACGAGAGAUCUCUUAAUCACGUCGAAACGUGUGCCAGAGAGGGUGAAAGCCCCGUACAGAGUUCUCUCGAAACAGGGGGAUUCCACAAGAGUCGGGUUGCUUGGAACUGCAGCCCUAAGUGGGAGAUAUGAAUCUUCCAAAGCUAAAUAUGGAUGGGAGACCGAUAGCGCACAAGUA